rnacentral:rRNA from 1 species
UGGCGGACGGGUGAGUAACGCGUGAGAAUCUGGCUUUAGGUUCGGGACAACAGUGGGAAACUGCUGCUAAUACCGAAUGUGCCGUAAGGUGAAAGAUUAAUUGCCUGAAGAUGAGCUCGCGUCUGAUUAGCUAGUUGGUGAGGUAAAGGCUCACCAAGGCGACGAUCAGUAACUGGUCUGAGAGGAUGACCAGUCACACUGGGACUGAGACACGGCCCAGACUCCUACGGGAGGCAGCAGUGGGGAAUUUUCCGCAAUGGGCGAAAGCCUGACGGAGCAAUACCGCGUGAGGGAGGAAGGCUCUUGGGUUGUAAACCUCUUUUCUCAGGGAAGAACAAAAUGACGGUACCUGAGGAAUAAGCAUCGGCUAACUCCGUGCCAGCGGCCGCGGUAAUACGGAGGAUGCAAGCGUUAUCCGGAAUUAUUGGGCGUAAAGCGUCCGCAGGUGGCAAUUCAAGUCUGCUGUUAAAGGUUCUGGCUCAACCAGGAACAGGCAGUGGAAAC